CUACGUGCCAGCAGCCGCGGUAAUACGGAAGGUCCAGGCGUUAUCCGGAUUUAUUGGGUUUAAAGGGUGCGUAGGCGGCCUGUUAAGUCAGCGGUGAAAUCUAGGAGCUUAACUCCUAAAUUGCCAUUGAUACUGGCGGGCUUGAGUGUAGAUGAGGUAGGCGGAAUGCGUGGUGUAGCGGUGGAAUGCAUAGAUAUCACGCAGAACUCCGAUUGCGAAGGCAGCUUACUAAGGUACAACUGACGCUGAAGCACGAAAGCGUGGGUAUCAAACAGGAUUAGAUACCCUGGUAGUCCACGCAGUAAACGAUGAUAACUGGGCGUAUGCGAUAUACAGUAUGCUCCUAAGCGAAAGCGUUAAGUUAUCCACCUGGGGAGUACGCCGGCAACGGUGAAACUCAAAGGAAUUGACGGGGGCCCGCACAAGCGGAGGAACAUGUGGUUUAAUUCGAUGAUACGCGAGGAACCUUACCCGGGAUUGAA
rnacentral:rRNA from 1 species